AUUGAACGCUGGCGGCAGGCUUAACACAUGCAAGUCGAGCGGAGAUGAGGUGCUUGCACCUUAUCUUAGCGGCGGACGGGUGAGUAAUGCUUAGGAAUCUGCCUAUUAGUGGGGGACAACAUUCCGAAAGGAAUGCUAAUACCGCAUACGUCCUACGGGAGAAAGCAGGGGAUCUUCGGACCUUGCGCUAAUAGAUGAGCCUAAGUCGGAUUAGCUAGUUGGUGGGGUAAAGGCCUACCAAGGCGACGAUCUGUAGCGGGUCUGAGAGGAUGAUCCGCCACACUGGGACUGAGACACGGCCCAGACUCCUACGGGAGGCAGCAGUGGGGAAUAUUGGACAAUGGGGGGAACCCUGAUCCAGCCAUGCCGCGUGUGUGAAGAAGGCCUUAUGGUUGUAAAGCACUUUAAGCGAGGAGGAGGCUACUGAGACUAAUACUCUUGGAUAGUGGACGUUACUCGCAGAAUAAGCACCGGCUAACCCUGCGCCAGCAGCCGCAGUAA
rnacentral:rRNA from 1 species